CUCAGUUUGGAUCGCAGUCUGCAACUCGACUGCGUGAAGGUGGAGUCGCUAGUAAUCGCGGAUCAGCAACGCCGCGGUGAAUGCGUUCCCGGGCCUUGUACACACCGCCCGUCAAGUCAUGAAAGUGGGCAGCACCCGAAGACGGUGGCCUAACCCUUGUGGGGGGAGCCGUCUAAGGUGAGGCUCGUGAUUGGGACUAAGUCGUAACAAGGUACC
rnacentral:rRNA from 1 species